GAGUGAGGGAAGACUUUUAAGAAGAGGAGACAUUCAAACAAAACCUUAAAGUAAGGGAAAGAGUUCCGUAAACCAAGAGGGAGGAAGGCAAUCACAGAGCGCAGGCAGGCUGUGUAAAUGCCCAGCUGCAGGAGAAUGGCAGCAUGCCAGGAGAACAGCGAAUUAUCUGUCUCCAAUUUUAAAAUGAAAGCACCAUCAGAGCCAGAACUGUGUCCUUCUCACCAUCGUAUUGCCAGGCUAAGCACAGCUCCCAGGACAUAUCUAAGAAGUGCCCACAAAAUGUUUAAAGAGUGAUGGAUGAGACCUUGGCCUCGGGAUGUGGCAGUGGAUCAUCAAUGGGGAUUCCUAAGCAAGAGCAUGCCUCAGUGGGAGCUGCUUUUUAAGAAGAUAACCCAGUGAGACAUGGAAGACAGAGAACAGACGCUGGCAUGAUCCCAUCCCACCCAAAGCUCAUGAGAGCUCGAGACAGAGCACUGUGGAUGGAGAGGCAGGACAGAAAAGAGAUACUAGUUUCUGAGAUUAAGCUCCUGCACUCUGAUGACUGGCAUGUGGAGGGCGAGGGGAAGAAGUGCCUGAGGAUGAUCUGGGGAUUUCUAGCUUUAAAGGAGGAAUGGCUGAGAAUCCUAGUAACCAGAGCAACAUGUGAAGGACAGUGAGCAGCUUCGGUAAACCUGGAGGUUGGGAGAGUGAAUUCACUUUUAAGCAUGCGGCUUUAAGCUUCUAUAAAACACCCCACUGGAGAUGUGGGUGCAAUUGGGGUGACAAAUGUGGUGGUUGGGAGAGAAGUAGGGGCUGGAAAUGGAGAUUCAGGAGACUUCAAGGUAUCAGUGGUGUGCUUUAAACUGUAGAACCAGUGAGUAUCCCCAGGGAGCUCUGCAAGGCAGGAGAAAAUGAAGACCCAAGGAGCAGCCCAGGUAUACUCAGACCCAGAGUCCCUGUGCCCACAGGGACUCCCUUAGAGCAAGUUCUCACGGACGUCACCCUGCUUUCUUGAGUGGGACAUGGGGACAGAUAGGUCAUUCUGUGCUUACUUCAAAGUCUCUACUAAUUGAUGAUUUUUUUCAAAUAAUUUUCAAAAUUAUUAACCCAAUAUUUAUUGAGAGCAUGGAGUCUGGCAGGGUAUGGAGUGAUGAGUCAGAUAAAAUCUCUGUCUUCAAGGAGUUUCUAUCAAUAUCAGGGGAAGCUAAAGAGCAAAUUAAACAGUGAGUGUGAAAGUUCUUAGCAGGGUGCCUGACUUAAUAGAAGAGAAAUGACUUUCAUUUUUAAAUUUGAUAUAUGUAAGUAUCUGAGAGAAGGGAUAAGAUGGUUCUGAGGAAGAGGAGAUUCCUUGACUUGGCUAGAGGCCUGAGGGAAGCCUUUGUAGAAGAGGUAGAAUCUAGGUGUGCAGCAUGGGAGGACUGGAGCAGGCAGCAGCGGCUGUUGGUGGGGACAGGGACACACUUCAGAUGGAGAGAACUUCUCUGAUAGGCAACUGGGUUUGCAAAUGGAGCCAACUGUUACGAGAGACCCCAGGCAGCUUAGUGCCUCUUGUCCCACCACAAUGGGACACAAGAACUGAUAUUCAGAAGGAACACGGGGCUCCCAGGGCUGGGUAGCCAUAAGGAGGACUAGUCCCCAAGAAGGGGCAGAGGGCUCCGGGCGCCCGGCCCACCCCCAGCCUGACUCAUUGCGAUACCACACUGUUUUAGUGCUUCGUUUCCCUUGGUCAAACCAGGACUAUUUGAAUGCACCUGCCUCUCUUCCGUGCCCCCUGCCUGGCCAGGGUGGCCGUUGUGAGGGUAGGAGUGCUUCCUAAUUGUGGUCCUGCGGCCCAAGGCCCACGUGAGGGCUCUUGGCGGUCUCACUCAAAUGAAGUGGGGGCCGGCUGACUGCUCAGCCACACUUGGAAGACACCUUGCUUAUUCCUUCUCAGUGAUCCUCUGGUCUCGUUUUCAAGUUGCAAAUUUCAGAAGCUUGCUGCAGCUCUUUCAAAAAAGGUGAGAGGAGGAGAGGGAGGGCGAAGUGGAGCUCCACCUGCCAGAGAGAUGCUGGGGUCUCAGCAGCAUUCUGCCUCUCGCCCCCGAGUCCCUAUAGAUUGCCUCCACCCCCUCCUCCCCUCCAAAUUAGACAUAUUUGAAAUGCAGAGCAAAUGUUCUCAUAGAAAAAAAGAAGAAAGAUGGGAGAGAAAAAAAGUAAAAGUUGUAAGAUAUUACCAGACACCUGGAAGGGUCAGUGUCUUCACACAAAGUGAAUUUUUCUGGGCAUUUCUGCUUCAUAAAGCCAGGGCACAGGAAUCUGGAUUAUCCAUUCAGAGCUCUGCUCCCUGGUACCAGCCUACCUGCUUGGGGGCCAAGAAACCCUAGGUCCCUGAGAUGUGAUCAUAUGACACUUUCCCCAGGACAACAGCACAGUUGGGGUCAGUGUUUUAAGCAGAGCCAUUAGAGGGAUUGACCUGUUUGAGUUUCUCUCAGUCUCCAGGGCAGAUGAUGAUGGUGAUGAUGGUGCUGUCAGUAACUUUCUGUGGUGAGUCAUACUGCAACAAAGCACUUUCACAUUUAUUGAAUCAUUUUCUUUCAAAAAACAUACUAGAGAUCCCAGUCCCCUUCAGAGUAUUCCCAAAAGAUAAACUGCCACCUCUAGUAAAGUGGACUUCCGCGUAGAUAUCAUUAUCUAGCGCUGCGCACGGGGAACUUUGGAGAUUUGCAUUGUGGUCUUGCCCUGAGCAGCUGGGUGACCUUGGACAAAUCACUUCACCCCUCCUAAUCUUAGCUUCUUCGUAUGUAAAAUGUGUUAAUAAUAACUGUCUGAGAGGGUUAUUGUGGGGAUUUAAAUGACUUCAUGUAAAUAAAAAAAAGACAUUAUAAACUCUAAAGCAUUAUGCAAAUAUUAAUUACCAUCUAUACAAGGGUGAGCUAUUUGCAAAAAUGAAU